CCUUGAUUACUUGCCCUAUUUGUCACUCCCUUUGACGUGUUUCUUAUUUUGUAUUAUGUUGUGUUUCUUUAUUAACACUUCCUCCCUGAACUUGCUCCCCGACGUUCAGAUCACAUCGUUACAGCCCAGCAGUGUGAGAAUGGUGUGGUGUAUGAGGUCUGUGUUCUCCCAUCUGUCCCAGUGCAACCCAGAGCUCUGACUCCCAAUGUGCCACCCACUCCUGUAUGGAGAGCUGCUUCUGCACUGCAGGCAGAAUGAUGACCGCUCUCCAGGCCUGUUGUGAAUGACGGCAGGUAAGCUAACAAUGGCAGUGUCUCAAUUCAGAGCUAUUCCCUGCCCUCUGCCUUCAUUCACAACGGGCCUGGAGAGCUGCCAUCAUUCACACUGGGCCUGGAGAGCUGCCAUCAUUCACACUGGGCCUGGAGAGCUGCCAUCAUUCACACUGGGCCUGGAGAGCUGCCAUCAUUCACACUGGGCCUGGCGAGCUGCCAUCAUUCACACUGGGCCUGGAGAGCUGCCAUCAUUCACACUGGGCCUGGAGAGCUGCCAUCAUUCACACUGGGCCUGGAGAGCUGCCAUCAUUCACACUGGGCCUGGAGAGCUGCCAUCAUUCACACUGGGCCUGGAGAGCGACUGGUUUAUGCAGGAUUUUGUUCCACCUCAGCAGUAAGACACCUGGUUCAACAGAUCAUGGACUUCCAUUAGGGCCAAGGUGAAGGCUGUGUGGUGCCCUCUCUCUGUCCCUGUGAGUGGGAGGACUCUGUUCCCCCCCUACAGGUGAAGGCUGUGUGGUGCCCUCUCUCUGUCCCUGUGAGUGGGAGGACUCUUUCCCCCCCCUACAGGUGAAGGCUGUGUGGUGCCCUCUCAUUUUAUUAAUUGUGUGAAUAGGCUUUGUACUAGGUUCUAUGGCUAGGUGAAUGAAUAGCAGGAAUAUUAACUUCGAUGGUUCUGGUUAGGAUUUGUCACUGUGUACCUGUAGGCGCUGUGUGUACCCGUAGGCGCUGUGUGUACCCGUAGGCGCUGUGUGUACCCGUAGGCGCUGUGUGUACCCGUAGGCACUGCAGUGUACCCGUAGGCACUGCAGUGUACUCGUAGGCGCUGUGUGUACCCGUAGGCACUGCAGUGUACUCGUAGGCGCUGUGUGUACCCGUAGGCGCUGUGUGUACCCGUAGGCACUGC